AUAUAUAUUAAACAAAUGUAAAUCAGAGGUCAGUUAGCAAAUCAAAAUCUCUAUAUAAGAGCUCAACUUAGAUGUAUAGAUUAAGACCAUCCAACGCUUUCUUCUCUUGAAGAAAACAUAGAAAGUUUUAUCCAAACCAAAAAUGGCUUUGCAAAAGUUUCCUCUCAUGGGGCUGCUUAUGCUCCUAACCAUCAUUGUUUCUCCGGCAACAGCCGAUGGACCUGUUUGCCCACCGACGACUAAACUAAGCCGGGCAAGUUUUCCUGAAGGGUUUCUAUUUGGCACGGCUACUGCAGCAUAUCAGGUAUAAUAUAAGUUACUAUAAACUCUUCUGGAUGGUUACGCAAAGGGAAAAAAAAAAACACUUUCUUACAUAUAUAAAAAUAAAUGUCCAUAAAUAAUCUGUUAACAUUUAGAUAGUAGAAUUCAUAUAGAUGAAAUAGUUAAAUCUUUGCUAGUCAACUAGUAAAAGUUUUAUCAUGAUAUUGACUAAAUAUCUUUUUUUCUUAAAUGAUGUAUAUAACGAGUUCACCUAUAUAUAUAUCAUAUCAUUUUCUAAAUCCGUCAACUAUGUUUGUUAUAUAGGUUGAAGGUGCAGUGAAUGAAACUUGUCGUGGACCGGCCUUAUGGGAUAUCUACUGUAAGAGAUAUCCAUGUGAGUGUCUCUAAAUUUCUCUUUUGACCUCUUAAAUGUACUUGUGAUUAUUCUUUUCUCUAAUUAAUAUCGAAAAUCAUUUAUUUUCUCUAUAGCGAGGUGCAAUAACGAUAACGGUGAUGUGGCCGUUGAUUUCUUCCAUCGUUAUAAGGUAUAUAAAUUAGUAUUGCUAGAUUGAUAAAUUAUCACAUACAUCUAUAAAUAUUUCUCAUUGUUCUAUUGAAUAGUUCAUUGAUACUAACUAGUGUUGAUAAUUUUUUUUUGCCUGAAAAAAUAAUAUUUGUAGGAAGAUAUACAACUAAUGAAGAAUCUAAACACAGACGCCUUCAGAAUGUCUAUCGCGUGGCCAAGAAUAUUUCCUCGUGAGUAUAUGUACUAAGGAUGGACAUACACACAUAUCUCUGAUUUAUCUAUCCAAUCACUAACUUGAUCAUUUACUUUUCAUCGAGAUCGGUGUUUUUAAAUGUAUAUGAUUGGUAAAUGUUUUAUUAUAGAUGGGAGGAUGGAGAAAGGAGUGAGUCAAGCUGGUGUGCAAUUUUACCACGAUGUCAUCGAUGAGCUCCUUAAAAAUGGUUAUUUAUUAUAAAUAAACAUAUUAAUUAAUUAACAACUAUAUAUAUACGUAUAGUUGUUACAAUUAAUUAUCUAAAAAAUUCAACUUAAUAUUGUGAUAAGGUAUAACUCCGUUCGUGACUGUUUACCAUUGGGACACUCCACAAGAUUUAGAAGAUGAAUAUGGCGGUUUUUUAAGUGAAAGAAUUGUGUAAGUUUCUCUUGGUUAUAAUUUUUUUUUUAAAAAUGAAUCCCAUUUUAUAUGUAUAUAAAACCAAUAUACAACGUGAUAAUUUUUUGAAUAUCGUUUUGCAAAUAUGCAGGAAAGAUUUCCGAGAAUAUGCAAAUUUUGUUUUCCAAGAAUAUGGUGGAAAAGUGAAACAUUGGAUUACUUUUAAUGAGCCAUGGGUUUUCUCGCACGCUGGUUAUGACGUAGGCAAAAAAGCACCAGGACGUUGCUCUAAAUAUGUCAAAGAAGAAUGCCAAGAGGGACGAUCAGGAUACGAGGCUUACCUCGUCACUCACAAUCUUCUUAACUCUCACGCAGAAGCCGUUGAAGCUUUCCGACAAUGUGAAAAGGUAUAUCAUAUAUUAUAUAAUAAUAAUUUAUCGUCUUUCGGAACUAAACAUUUGUUCGUUUUGUGUUAUGUUAAUGGCCAGUGUAAAGGUGGGAAAAUCGGAAUCGCACAUAGUCCGGCUUGGUUCGAACCACACGACCUUGCUGAUUCACAAGAUGGUGCAUCCAUUAACCGUGCACUUGACUUUAUUUUGGGAUGGUGAGUAGCUAAUAUCCUAAUAUCAAGUAUUAAUUUUCUUGUAAUUUAAUACAAUAUGUAAUAUAUGAUUAUUAUUAUUAUUAUCUUUUGUAGGCAUCUAGACACAACAACGUAUGGAGAUUACCCACAGAUCAUGAAAGACAUUGUUGGACACAGAUUGCCUAAAUUUACUGAUCAGCAGAAGGCAAAAUUGAAAAACUCAGCCGAUUUCGUUGGGCUCAACUAUUAUACUUCAGUAUUUUCAAACCAUUUGGAGAAGCCAGAUUAUUCUAAACCAAGAUGGAUGCAAGAUUCUCUUAUUAACUGGGAAUGUAAGUUUUUUUUGGUUUUUGUUUUUGUUUUUCUGCUUUUUUGCCCUUACUUGAGACAGAACCAAGAAAACAGAUGCCAACAAAUAGAAGGAAAAAGUUUGUCUUUGGUACUAAUCAAAAUCUAUCUUCUUUUCAGCUAAGAAUGCGCACAAUUACUCCAUUGGUAGCAAGGUAUGUAUUUGAUAGUCUAAUACUGAAUUAUAUUAUUUCAGAUAAAUAUUAUAAUCUUGUCUAUAACGUAACAUUUUUCACCUUUGUCGUAUUUCAGCCUUUCACGGCUGCACUGCCCGUUUACGCGAGAGGCUUCAGAAGUCUUUUGAAGUACAUCAAAGAUAAAUAUGCCAACCCGGAAAUUAUGAUCAUGGAAAAUGGUAAUUAGAGAGAUUUCUUAUUUUCGUUCAUUUUGUUUGAAAAACAUAUAUAAAAAAAAAAUAUUGAUCUUGAUGUUGUUUUCUAGGAUAUGGAGAAGAACUUGGGGCAUCAGAUUCGAUUGCAGUUGGUACUGCUGAUCAUAACAGGAAGUAUUACCUCCAGAGGCAUCUUUUAAGUAUGCAAGAAGCUAUCUGGUAAGUCUUAUAUAUUUCUGUUUUAUAUGGUAGACUAGCAAUUGUAUUGGAGAGUUAAUAAUAACAUUUGUGUACUAUAUGCAGCAUCGACAAGGUGAAUGUUACAGGAUACUUUGUAUGGUCAUUGUUGGAUAACUUCGAGUGGCAAGACGGUUAUAAGAACAGAUUUGGAUUAUAUUACAUUGAUUUCAAAAAUAACCUCACACGUUAUGAGAAAGAAUCGGGCAAAUUCUACAAAGAUUUCCUCAGUGUAGGGACUCGUCCAUCCAUGAUCAAGAGGGACGAGCUUUAAGCUAUUUUUUGAGAAUUUGGUCGUGUCGAUGUGUCUUUCCUAUGUUUGUAUUUUAUAAUUUACCAAGAUUCUAGAGGUCUUGGGUUGAAUAAAAGAGUGUCUUCUUCAUUUAUGUCUAUAUGAUUUGCAAGAUAUACUAGAAAACUCUGGUUGUGAAAAACCGGAUUUACCUCUAAACAUAGAAAUGGAUUAGGAAAUAUGAUAUAUUUAAAACAAUAUCUAAAUAUCUAGACGUAAACGAUAAGGCUGAUGCAUGAGAAACCAAAAUAAUAUAUUCUCCGAAAAAACCCAAAGUCGGGUAAGAUCAAUUAUAUUUACAGUAAAACCUUUAUAAUAAUUAAUCUCGGAAUUUUGGAAAUAUUUUAAUCUAUAGAAAAUAUUAUUAAUAUUGCAAUAUAUGAAGCUUUUGACACAGCGACUUAUUAAGUCACAUUUUAAUAUAAGCUCGUGGCACACGCGGAAUAUUAUAUGUUUCGAAUUUCGAGUAAAAAUGAUAACAACGCAUUGAUAAUUAGACCAUGCAAUUAAUCCUAUAUCCAAUUUUUUUUUUCUUUCCGACAAACACAUAUUAUAUCCAACUAUGGACUAAUAUUUUUAGUGGAAAAAGAAGAAGAAGAUAGCAACAGGAUACCGUAAAUAUCCAAAUAUAUAUUAAGAUGUGGUCGAAAACACGAUAUAAUUAAGUCUAUAAAGUGGGUCGAUUAAAAAAACACGAUAUGGGUCUUUAAAGUGGAAAUUAAAAAUAUGAUCCACGAGGCCUGGUGGUGGUUGGCAUAGUAAAACAAAAUAAAAAAAUAAUUAAAAUCUAAAGUUCAAUCAGUGAAUCAAAAUCGCUAUAUAAAGAACUCCACUUGAAUGUAUAAAAUACCAAACACACUCUUGAAGAAAACAAAAAACAACUCAAACCAAAAUGGCUUUGCAUAAGUUUCCUCUCAUGGGGCUGCUUUUGCUCCUAACCAUCUCCGUCUCUCCGGCAAUAGCUGAUGGACCUGUUUGCCCGCCGUCUACGAAACUAAGCCGGGCAAGUUACCCUGAAGGUUUUUUGUUUGGCACGGCUACGGCAGCGUAUCAGGUAUAAACAUUUCUUGACAUUUAUUUUUAGAUUUUUAUAUAUGUUCAUAAGUUAUUUCAGAUAGUAAGGUUCAUAUAGACGGCAUAGUAAAAUCCAUAUUCAUCAUUAUCAAUAUCACGUUUCACAGUAUAUAAAAUAGUAAAAACUAUAGAAUAAAGUCAUAAAGAUGACAUUCUAAACGGAAUAAGAGUGUUUUGGUCUUUUGCUAGUUAUCUAGUAAUUUUGUUUUUGUUUUUUUUUUUUUUUUAUCAUGGUGCUUACUUAAUAUCCCUUUAAAAAUAAUUUAAAUGGCGAAUUUACCUAUAGAUUUUUUUGAACAAUUAAUUUAGCUACAUUUUAUAUAUAUCAUAAGGUUGAAGGUGCAGUGAAUGAAACUUGCCGUGGACCAGCCUUAUGGGAUAUCUACUGUAAGAGAUUUCCAGGUGAGUGUCUCUACGUUUCUUAUCUCGUAAUUGUGUUUAGGAUUAUUCAUUCUUCCACUAAUAAUAUCGAAACUCAACUGAUUAUUUUCAUUAAAUUUGAAUUACAGCAAGAUGCAACAACGAUAACGGCGAUGUAGCUGUUGAUUUCUUCCAUCGUUAUAAGGUAUACAAUUUAGUUCAGGUUAAAGAAAUCAAUUAUGGCAACGUAUAUCAAGUAAUUAAUUAAUUAAUUAAUUAAUUAAUAUUUCCUGUUAUUCUAUUUUAUAGUCCAUUGAUUCAUAUUAGAUGCUAAUAAUUUGUGUCGUCGUAAAAAAUGUUUAUAGGAAGAUAUCCAACUAAUGAAGAAUCUAAACACAGACGCCUUCAGAAUGUCUAUCGCAUGGCCAAGAAUAUUUCCUCGUGAGUAUAUGUGCUAAGAAUCUAUACACAUUUAUCUGUCUACUCAAUCAGUAACUUGAUUUAAUUUUACUCGAGAUUGGUAUUUUCAAAAUGUAUAUCAUUGUUGAGAUAUUAAUGAAGCAAAACAAUAUUAUAUCAGAUGGGAGAAUGGAGAAAGGAAUCAGUUGGGCUGGUGUGCAAUUUUACCACGACCUCAUUGACGAACUCCUUAAAAAUGGUUAUAUAUUUUAAUGUGUAUAUAUAUAUAUAGUGACAAUUGCUGAUUAUAGACGUUAAUAAAAUUUUCUAAAACUUUUUAUUACUGUUUUUAAAAGGUAUAAUUCCGUUCGUGACUGUUUAUCACUGGGAUACUCCACAAGAUUUAGAAGAUGAAUAUGGUGGCUUUUUAAGCGAAAGGAUUGUGUAAGUUUUUUUUGAUAAAACAACUCAUAUUUUAAUGUAUAUAAAACCACUAUAAAACAGGAAAAAUUAAUUGAAUAACUUUUUGGAAAAAUGCAGGAAAGAUUUCCGAGAAUAUGCAAAUUUUGUUUUUCAAGAAUAUGGUGGAAAAGUAAAACAUUGGAUCACUUUUAACGAGCCAUGGGUUUUCUCGCACGCUGGUUAUGACGUAGGCAAGAAAGCACCAGGACGUUGCUCUAAGUACGUCAAAGAUGAAUGUCAUGAGGGACGAUCAGGAUUCGAGGCUUACCUCGUCACUCACAAUCUCCUUAACUCUCACGCAGAAGCCGUUGAAGCUUUCCGACAAUGUGAAAAGGUAUAUCAUAUUCAUAGUUUCAUACAUAAUAAUAAUUUAUCGGCUUUCGGAUCUGAAACACUCUUUGCUUUGUGUUAUGUUUAUGGCCGCAGUGUAAAGGUGGGAAAAUCGGAAUUGCACAUAGUCCGGCUUGGUUCGAACCACAUGACCUUGCUGAUUCACAAGACGGUGCGUCCAUUAACCGUGCACUUGACUUUAUUUUGGGAUGGUAAGUAGUUAAUAUCCUAAUAUCAUCAAAUUAAUUCUAAAUAUCUUUUAACAUAAUAUAUAAUAAUUGCUUUUUUCUUUUCUUUUGUAGGCAUCUAGACACAACUACGUAUGGAGAUUAUCCACAGAUCAUGAAAGACAUUGUUGGACACAGAUUGCCUAAAUUUACUACUCAGCAGAAGGAAAAAUUGAAAAACUCUGCCGAUUUCGUUGGGCUCAACUAUUAUACUUCAAUGUUUUCAAACCAUUUGGAGAAGCCAGAUCAUUCUAAACCAAGAUGGAUGCAAGAUUCUCUUAUUAACUGGGAAAGUAAGUUUUUUUGGUAGCCCCUUACUUGAAAACAAACCAAGAAAUCGAUGCCAACAAUUAAUAUAAAAGGGAAACUGUUUAUUUGUAUUCGGUACUAAUAUAUCAAAAUCUAUCUUCUUUUCAGCUAAGAGUGCGCUAAAUUUCUCAAUUGGUAGCAAGGUACGCUUUUAAUUAAACUUAUAGCAAUCUGAUAUUAUACUUCUUUUUAGAUAAAUUACACUUUUGUCUAUGACGUAACAUUUUCACGUCUGUCGUAUUUCAGCCUUUGACCGCUGCAUUGAACGUUUACUCCAGAGGCUUUAGAAGUCUUCUGAAAUACAUCAAAGACAAGUACGGAAACCCGGAAAUUAUGAUCAUGGAGAACGGUAACUAGAAAUUUUCUAAUGUUUGCUAGCUACUUUAUCCUUUUUUGACUUUAUUCUAUAAUAAAUAUUUAUUGUAUUGAUCUUAAUGUUGUUUUUUAGGAUACGGAGAAGAACUUGGGGCAUCAGAUUCAAUUGCAGUUGGUACAGCUGAUCAUAACAGGAAAUAUUAUCUUCAGAGACAUCUUUUGAGUAUGCAUGAGGCUAUUUGGUAAGUCAUCUUUUUUAUAUGAUAGACUAAUUAACAACUGUUUGACCCAAAAAAAAAAAAAAAAAAAAGACUAAUUAACAACUGUAUUGGAGAAUUUAAAAAAAAAACUGUGUACAUGCAGCAUCGACAAGGUGAAUGUUACAGGAUACUUCGUAUGGUCAUUGUUGGAUAACUUCGAGUGGCAAGAUGGUUAUAAGAACAGAUUUGGACUAUACUACAUUGAUUUCAAAAAUAACCUCACACGUCAUGAGAAAGAAUCGGGCAAGUAUUACAAACAAUUCCUAAGUGAAGGUGUUCGUCCAUCUGCGAUCAAGAGGGAUGAGCUUUAAGCUAUAUCUUGAGGAUUUGGUUUUCUGUUUGAGUGUUUCUUUCUUAUGUUUUCGUUUGUGAUUGACCAAGAUUGAUGAGGUCUUGGCUAGAAUAAAAAUGUAUUGUUUUAUCGUUUCUCAAUGUCCGCGUGAUUUGACGAGCUCACGAAGGCUUGAUUAUUUAAUAAGGAGUAUUUUUUCUUUAUAAUAAUUAAAACGCAAUGAUUAUGAAAAACUAGAAUAUGAACAUAUUGGACGCGAUUUAUGCUUUUCGUUUGGUUAUUAUGAGAAAGUGAUUUUUUCAAUUUCAUGUUAUCUUUUAAUGCAAACAUCUAGUUUAUCAAAUAGAGGUUAAUUACAACUUAAAAAGAACAUUUCAUCUAUUGUUGCAGCUGCUUUCUUGUUGAUAUGACGACAUUAUUUGUUUCCAAAAUUUGAAAGCGUAUAAUAUUUGUCCUAUAUACCGAACAACAACAUUAAUAAGGAUCAUUUAGUAAUAAUAAUCGUGUAACUCGUGUUAAAUUGGAUGGAAUCUUCAUUUACUAAACGAUUCAUUUCCAGAUUAUAUGCAUUAAUAAUGUUGCUUGUUAAAUAUGAGAAAUAUUGUAUGCUUUUAAAUUUGAAAACAAUCGAAGCCGUCGUCAAUUAUUGGAGUCUGAAAAAUUGGGCCAUAUUAAUUAGAAGCAGUUGAUAAAGUAACAUUUUAAUUAAUAUUAUAUAUUCCACGCGCAAUAUUAUAUGUUCCACGCGCAAUAUUAUAUGUUUUUAAUUUUGAGAUAUAAAUGAAAAGACUAAAGUAGAGAUCAUGUGCAAUGACAUCAUUUCCUAUUUAAAAACAAUUAAACGAAACAAUAACAGUUUAGUCAAUCAUCACUGAAAAAAAAAUGCAACAAUAGGUUGUGUGGCCGGUAGUUAAGACUUAGUGACUUACGAUCGAUAUGAACAUAUAAUCGAAACCACGAUCAUCAGGAUCUUUAAUCAGCGAGGCCCGAUAGUGAUUUUUUUAAAACCUUUGAACAUUCAAAUUUGAAAUGAUAUUCUUGUUUCAAUUAAAAAAAAACCUCUUAAGUAAAAUAAGUAUGCCGCAGGCUACAAUAAAUUCACAUUAAAGAUAUAUAAAUUUUGAAUGAUAAUACUCAAAAAGAAAGAGGAAAAAAAAUUGCAUAAAUUUUGUUCAAACUUAAAUUCAAUCAAUAUUUUUUUAAUUCAUAUAAAAAUGCCUAAUAUUCGGUAAAAAAAAAAUGCAAUGAUAUUGUUUAGCAUGGAGCAGUUGGUAAGAAUAAUAAUCAUAGAUAGUAUAUAUUACAUCAGAAUUUUCUAGCAAAUAAGGUAUUACAUUAGAUGGAAGCUUCAAUUUUUUGUUACUACGAUUGCUUUCCGUUUUUUUUAUUAAUUGGUUUCUACGAUAUCAUAAAGAAGACGAUGAUCGAAAAACUAAUCUAGUCGUUUCGCUGUAGAUAUUAACGAAGACUAUGACGAGUGACGACGGAAGACAAGAUUUUGGUUGUCUAACAAAUAAGCCCUAAUUUAAUUUUUAUUUUUAUAAGUAACAAAAUGACUUAUUUAAGACUACAUCUGAUAGUGUUAAUCGUUAAAGAUGAAAAAUGUUAUAUGCUUUCAAAUUUUGAACACAAAUAAGGUCGCCGCGUCUAUUAUUGGAGUAAACGAACACUCCGGCCUUAUUAGAAGCAGUUACAUACUACCACGUUAUAUGUGGUCUAUGUAUUAAAUGGUCUUUAAGGGCCACAUAUUACAAUACUACAUGAAAGCUAGCUAUUUGUUGUGGAGUGGAGUUACACAAUGAUUUUAUUCAAAGGCACAUGUUAAUAUAUAGAUGCUACACGUUAAACACGCAUGAUAUUAUAUAUAUGUUCCGAAUUCUGAAAAAGUAAAUCAAUAAUACAGCGAUAUUGAUCAUGCGUUAAAUCAUCCUAUAUAUAAAAUUAAUUAACCAAAUAAAUAAUAACACCGUGAGAUAGAUCGUGCAAUGAAUCAUCCUCUAUAUAGUUAAUUAUUUUUGGUUUUUGGGUCAAAUGACAAAAAAAAAAUUUGAGAAAUGAUGAUCAGGAGUAACUAAAUAGAGUAUCGAGAUACAAUCAUGAAUCCAAGAAUUGUGAUCAAUGGUGAGAAUAAUCGUGAGUAGACGGCCUAAGAGAAGCUGCAUAAUGUCUCGAUCGAAUGAUAUUGUGGCUGGUUUGGCUUCCGUUCGAUGCGGUGUUGUAUUUAUUUAUGUCCAAAUCGCAUACAAUGCUUGGAAUAUGAGUUUGAAGAUGCGUUAAGAAUUAUAGGUUGAUUUUGAUUAGACGGCCAUAUCUAAUUGUUUUUACUAAACAAUAGUAGUUGGGUCACUCGUUAGUCGUUACCAAAAUUAAAAUAAAAAAAAAACACACACGUUCGAGUCACGUCGAUAUAUAUCCACUUAUAUAUUGAUAUUUAAUCGAAAAUACGAUCUGGAUCUAUACAGUACAGCACCAAAAAUAAUUAACGAGGCCAGAUUGGCAACUGAGAGAUCAAAUCAGUGAAUGUUAAUCGCUAUAUAAAGAACCCCACUUAGAUGUAUAAGAACCAUCCUAUACACUUCUUCUCCUGAAGGAAACAAAAAACAACUAAAAUCAAAAUGGCUUUGCAAAAGUUUCCUUUCGUGGGGCUACUUCUACUCUUAACCAUCAUCGUCUCUCCGGCAACAGCUGAUGGACCUGUUUGUCCACCGACGACCAAACUAAGUCGGGCAAGUUUCCCUGAAG
rnacentral:lncRNA from 1 species